GACGAACGCUGGCGGCGUGCUUAACACAUGCAAGUCAAGGGGGCCCGCAAGGGUAACCGGCGAACGGGUGCGUAACACGUGAGCAAUCUGCCUAGAUGUGGGGAUAGCCGGCCCAACGGCCGGGUAAUACCGCAUACGCUCGUCGACUGGCAUCAGUUGACGAGGAAACUUUCGAGGCAUCUAGAGGAGCUCGCGGCCUAUCAGCUAGUUGGUGGGGUAACGGCCUACCAAGGCGGUGACGGGUAGCUGGUCUGAGAGGAUGGCCAGCCACAUUGGGACUGAGAUACGGCCCAGACUCCUACGGGAGGCAGCAGUGGGGAAUAUUGCGCAAUGGCCGAAAGGCUGACGCAGCGACGCCGCGUGGGGGAUGAAGCAUUCGGUGUGUAAACCCCUGUUGCUCGGGACGAACAAGCCUUUUCGAGGGCUCUGACGGUACCGAGUGAGGAAGCACCGGCUAACUCCGUGCCAGCAGCCGCGGUAAU
rnacentral:rRNA from 1 species